GCUAGGACUCCACACGUCCUCUCAGUAAAUCCCAGGAGACAGGACCCCAGAGGCAUUGCUCUCAUUCAGUGCUCUCGCCUCCCUCCUGGAUUGCCUAGUCAGGAGUGAGACAUGGAGAGGGGCUGAUGUAACCACCCCAGCAGGAGUAAGGAGGCUGGAAGGAGGAAACCAGUGAUGAAGGAUUUGCCAUAACCUUGUCCUGGAUGGAGAGCCAUGGCCAAAGUGGGUGGAGAGGAAUGGCCAUGCAAGGCAGCUGUGAUGGAUUCACCUCUGUGCAAGACAGCUAUGACGGAGUUGAUAGAAAGUGUGAGAACAUGGGCCAC
rnacentral:lncRNA from 1 species